rnacentral:rRNA from 1 species
UACGGGGGGGGCAAGCGUUGUUCGGAAUUACUGGGCGUAAAGGGCUCGUAGGUGGCCAACUAAGUCAGACGUGAAAUCCCUCGGCUUAACCGAGGAACUGCGUCUGAUACUGGAUGGCUUGAGUUUGGGAGAGGGAUGCGGAAUUCCAGGUGUAGCGGUGAAAUGCGUAGAUAUCUGGAGGAACACCGGUGGCGAAGGCGGCGACCUGGACGAUGACUGACGCUGAGACGCGAAAGCGUGGGGAGCAAACAGG